rnacentral:misc_RNA from 1 species
UUGAUUCAUUUGUGUAAUGAUUCCACUCAGACAUGCCAAAAGUGUAAAAGAUACAAGAGUUUGGGUCCCCCGGCGGGCGCCUGGUUCCGGGAAGCCGAGACCUGCGAGAGGCCCGGUUGCCCGGGGCGAAAGACCCGCCGAAGCAACGUUGUAAAGGUAUAAGUUCACAUGGGGUUUGGGAGUUGUAAACUCGGUAAUGAUCCCUCCGCUGGUUCACCAACGGAGA